GGUAAAAAAAAUUAAAUGAAUUCAAGUAGAGUUUUCUCGGACUUAUCAAUAAGCUAGGCCUUGAAUACUAGAAGAAAAGCACCUAGACCUAACAAGAUUAAGUGAAUACCUAAAAUUGUGGUCAUCUUAUUUCGAUCUAUCCA
rfam:Nicotiana attenuata strain TT chromosome 2, whole genome shotgun sequence.